AUAUGGUAGCUUGAGUUUGUGAAACCUGCAUUUCCAUUUGUUCCUAGUAGGUUUUGUGGGAAAAGACCAUUUAAUACACUUAAAAUAACAAAGGUAAUUUCAAGCCAAUAAUUUGGAUUGUGAUUUAGGUAAUUAUGAAAAACUUUAGCUUUAAAACUCUUAUGGUUGUGCAUGCUUAUAUACCAAAACUGAAGUAUCUUUAAAAGACAUAUGUAUCAGCUUAAAUGUUAGAAUUUAACUUCAGUUAAGAGGGAGAGUUAACAACACUUCUGGUAUAUGCUGUGUUUACCUUAUUUUGGGAAUUAUCUUUGGUACAGCAGCCAUUAAAAAUAAUGAAGUUUGGGUAUAUUCAUGGUGGAUUAAGAUUUGUAAAAUAUGAGACACCAAACUAAGUAGGCAAUGUUUUGAUUUGGACUUCGUAUUUUAAUAGAUAAAGUCAGACCUAAAGCCAAAAGGAAAGAAGAACCAAGCUCUAUUUUUCAGAGACAACGUGUGGAUGCUUUACUUUUAGACCUCAGACAAAAAUUUCCACCCAAAUUUGUGCAGCUAAAGCCUGGAGAAAAGCCUGUUCCAGUGGAUCAGACAAAGAAAGAGGCAGAACCUGUACCAGAAACUGUAAAACCUGAGGAGAAGGAGACCACAAAGAAUGUACAACAGACAGUGAGUGCUAAAGGCCCCCCUGAAAAACGGAUGAGACUUCAGUGAGUACUGGACAAAAGAGAAGCCUGGAAGACUCCUCAUGCUAGUUAUCAUACCUCAGUACUGUGGCUCUUGAGCUUUGAAGUACUUUAUUGUAACCUUCUUAUUUGUAUGGAAUGUGCUUAUUUUUUGAAAGGAUAUUAGGCCGGGUGCG
rnacentral:sRNA from 1 species